UGGAGCCCGGGGCUUGUUCCUCUCCAGCCCUGCAACCUCAGGAGCUGAAAGAAGAGCGGGCGGCUUGAAGACUCCACGCACCGAAGGAUAGACAGACAGUGCAGUCACCCAUAAAGUAGAAAGCACUACUAACAGCACUGGAGGGUGUAGUGUUUCCUACUUUAUGGAUGAGUGUACUGUGGGCUUCGGACCACGCCGCCGCCGCCUGCGGCCUCACUUCAGGACCCAGUGGCACAGGUGAGCACUUCAGGCGUCCCUUCUCCCGCCUAGACCCCUGGCAAGGCUCCCGACAUCCCCCCCGGCAGUGCUGCCUUCCCUUCCAGACAACCUGGGAGGGGCACCAGCCGCCCCCUGCCACCGCUGCUGGGCUGACCCAAAGUCUAGGUGGGAGCCAUAGGGUGGGGUCGGGAGUGGGGUGGCAGCGCAGGGCAUGCGGACCCCAGGGGCAGCCAUAACAGGUGGGUGGGGAAGCGUGGGGUCCCUGGAAGGGUGGGCGCAUGGAAGGGCUGCUGACAGUAAUAAAGAAUGCAAUCUGUUUCUCUCUUGUCCGAGUCUCUGUUGCUGGGUGAGGGGAGAGGGCACAUGGCUAUGGUGCUACACACCAGGGUUGAGAUGGGGGUGGUCAGGCUCGCCCUCCCAAUGGGAUGUGCAGGGCUCUGGGCCUUCCAGGCCGCAGCUGGGGGAGGGAAAGGCCUAGCUCGGGGGAGGGAGGACUUGUUGGCAAUCUGAGGGCGGGGGCAGGACACGGCGGGGUGCUCCCACCUUCUGCCCUCCGCUGGCUCUGCCUUGUCCCUCCACCAUUUACAGCCACGAACUGAAACCGCUUAUCUUCAGUUUUAAUCUAAGAAAGGCCUGGGGACCCUUAAAAUGUAAGAAUUGAGCCAGGAUGCAGCGUUUCACACAUAGACAAGUCCACAGAUAACAAGCAAAGCACACAUACCAGCACGUGUUUGCAUUUUCACACAUAUAUGACAGGAACACACAAGGACAGUGAGACAGCUCAGUGACAUAGCUCAUGUGGCACAACACGACACACAGGGCUACACACACACACCCAGGGCAUAUAAUCAGUAUGAUGGGAGCUUCAAAAAAUCCUGGAAAAUGGAAUUAAAAGAUAAGUUUACUUUAAUGCAAAUAAUGUUGAAAUCAUGCUUCCAAUAGUUUGUGGGAACUGUACCUUAUGCAGUGACUGGAUUUCAAGGUUGUUUGUGGUAAAAUAAAAUCUUUUAAAUUUAACUGAUCAUGAACUUCUGGAAUUAACCCGUUACACCAUCACACAAUGACAUAACCAUAUGUGGCACAGGUCACAUACAGAAAAGCAUGCAAAUGUAACUGACAUCCACAUGAUAAAGGCGGAGCCUUCAUACACAUGUGUGGGUGAUACACAUUCGUACAUGGUAGUACAUCCGUAGAUGCCUAGGGACAUGUUCAGCCGGUCACCAGGCACGUACAGGCAUAUGUAUAUACACCAAGACAGCGGGCCCUCCUCAUCACAGGCUUUCAGGAGUCAAGCGUACUCAACAUUCACAGCCCUUUUUCUUAUUCUCCCACACGCAGUAUGACAAUGAUGAGGCGUUCCGUGAUGGUAGGCACUUCGGCUCAUCUAGAGCCGAUUCCCUGCCUGUGGGAAAAAGCACGUCAGGGGCUGUCACACCCUGCCUGGGGUCUCCGCUCCAGCCAGGCCCUGGCUCCCUGGACAUCAAGCAGACACAGCACCAUUUUACAGAAGGAGCUCAAGCAGUCAUGGGCCUUGGGACUAAUCCUCACA